CAAAUUACAAUGAGCUACAAGGACUGGUUCCAGGUUGAAUCCAUGUCCUGCUCCCCAGGUUUUACACAUUGGUUUUCUUCUGGAAUGGAAAAUCGGGAUUGAAGUAAGGCAUAGGAGUUGGUAAAAUUCCUCUUUAACCAAAUAUGUUACUGAACGUGGAUAUUUUCUGCUCAUUAGUUUGCUUCUAGUCAUAGUUUUCCAGGAAUCUUUAAAUAAUCUUGAUGAGAGAAUGAAUUGUCUGCAACUGUUUUGUCCGUCUUUGAAGGUUUCUUUUAGUCAUUAAUGACUAAACUGUUCUGUCUCACCUUAAAGGGUUUUUUUUUUUUUUUUAACUUAUUUUCCCUCGAGUUUCAGAGUUUGUUUCUGAGCUACUCUGUUUUUUUCCUCUGUAUCUGUCGACAAACCCAUCCUUGUACUCUCUCUCUGCCUCUCUCUCCUUUUUUUUCAGCAACAAGCCGCUGAGCAGAGCUUCCCUUCCUUUUGACCGAAAGCUAGCUCAAGAGAAGAGGAAGUCCAACCACACAAAUAUACAUCAUAACAAUCUACUAACUUGGCGUUGUGGGACAAAUACAACUUCUAACAAAUAAGACUCAGACUAGUGUUGAAUAUUCUGGUUUGUUUAUUGGUUUUUUUCAAUCUGGAAGUAAAUGUAACAAAUGAAUGUUAUAAAUUUUUUUUCUGUCGGAGGAACUGAUAGCAUGGGAAAGUUUAUUUGUUCUGUAACCGAAAGAACAGUAUUCACAUCUUACAGUAAAAGAACACACACAAAAAAUUACGGUGAAGUACUAGGGCUGUUUCCUGGUUAAAUACAUGUCCGUCUUUCCAUGUUUUAAAUGUCACUUUUUCAUCUACCUCAUUAGUAGCUUUUUACAGAUCUAUAUAAGCUGCCUUAAUUUUAAUUUCAUUACAAACAAAUUCUAGCCAACACUAGGUUGAAGAGCUUUGAUUCUUAUAGGAAGAUUAAAGUGACAUGUGUUGUAUUCAAAAUCUUAGCAAGAAUUUGGAAAUCGACGAUUUGAUCAAAUCACUCUACUUUUAUAUUGUUUAGACUAAUACCGUUUCAUUUGUAACUUGCUGCAGGGGAUGGGCAGUCAGAAUUGAAUAAGCUUGUCAUAGGGGUUGGUAAUAUACCUCUUCAACCAAAUAUCUUAUUAAAUAUAUUUUUGGCUUAUUAUUCUUUUCUUCUACUCCUGGUUUACCAGGAAGCCUGAAAUCAUAUAGAGAAUCAAUUUUGAGAGGCACUCACUGUAUAUAACUAAAAUAGUGUAGAAUUUAUACGAGGCAGAUAACAAAAUUGUGCAAAAGCUUCAAUUAACAUAUUUGAA